rnacentral:rRNA from 1 species
UACAGAGGUCCCGAGCGUUGUUCGGAUUUAUUGGGCGUAAAGGGUGCGUAGGUGGCAAAGUAAGUUGGAUGUGAAAUCCUGGGGCUUAACCUCAGAAUUGCAUUCAAUACUGCUUAGCUAGAGAGCUGUAGAGGAGACUGGAAUUUACGGUGUAGCAGUGAAAUGCGUAGAUAUCGUAAGGAACACCAGUGGCGAAAGCGAGUCUCUGGGCAGCAUCUGACACUGAGGCACGAAAGCCAGGGGAGCAAACAGG